CAAUGAAAAUCACUCAAAGUGAAGCUAAAGCAAGCAAGAACGGACCAAGAAACGUUAGAGUGGCAUUUUUUAAAUAAUCAAAAGAAAAGCGCCACAAUACCAAAGGAUGGCACUUGAAGGCAAUACCCAUAAAAACACGAAGUGUCGCGACACCCAAGUCAAGGGCCGUAGAUGUAUUCAAAAAGAAUGAAGAUAAGGGUAAAAAGUGAGUUUAAUUUGAAGGAAGGGGCAUUAUGGUCAUUUUCUAUUUAUUAUUACUUUUUUAAAAAGAAAGAAAUCGGGAAAUUCUUUCGAGCACGUAACCCCUCUUCUCGAAUCUUUUCCCUUCAUCGGCUCCUUCCUCUCGUUGUCAUCUCUCCCUAUCUCUCUGUCAUUCUCUUCCGCUCACCAUCCCUCUCCAUCACCAUUGCUAAGUUGCACAUCCGCUCAUUGACGUCCCGUGAACACCAUCAUUGCCACCGUGCCAUUGUUGUCCUGCUUACCUUGUACCAUAUCUUAAAAUGUCACGCCAUCACCCAACCAACCGAAGAUCAAGUUAGCCACGGUGUCCAUGUUUCUUUCAAAUCCACCACUUAGAGUAAGAUUCUCAAGAUUUGAAUUUUAGAAUAGCUAACCGAUGGUCGGUGGGUCUAUGUGCACAUAUGAGCAUGGUUGAAUCAAGGUUGUUACUGUAGAAGGUACUAAAUAUGCAUGAGCUCAGUUUGGU